rnacentral:rRNA from 1 species
UGGCUCAUUACAACAGCCGUCGUUUCUUGGAUCUCUUAUUUUACUUGGAUAACUGUGGUAAUUCUAGAGCUAAUACACGCACUAAAGCUCCGACCUUACGGGACGAGCGCAUUUAUUAGAACAAAACCAAUCGGGUUUCGGCCCGUUCGUUGGUGACUCUGAAUAACUACGCCGAUCGCACGGUCUCGCACCGGCGACGCAUCUUUCAAGUGUCUGCCUUAUCAACUUUCGAUGGUAGUUUAUGUGCCUACCAUGGUUGUAACGGGUAACGGAGAAUAAGGGUUCGACUCCGGAGAGGGAGCCUGAGAAACGGCUACCACAUCCAAGGAAGGCAGCAGGCGCGCAAAUUACCCACUCUCGGCACGAGGAGGUAGUGACGAAAAAUAACGAGACGGAUCUCUUUGAGGCCCGUUAUCGGAAUGAGAACAAUUCAAAUCCUUUAACGAGGAUCUAGCGGAGGGCAAGUCUGGUGCCAGCAGCCGCGGUAAUUCCAGCUCCGCAGGUGUAUAUCUAUGCUGCUGCGGUUAAAAAGCUCGUAGUUGGAUCUGCGUGCUCGGAACCGGUUGGCUCACUGAGUUCAAACUGGUCUCCGGCGCUUUAUCGGCUGGUUUUCCCUUGAUGCUCUUAACCGGGUGUCUUGGGUGGCUAGCACGUUUACUUUGAAAAAAUUAGAGUGCUCAAUACAGGCGCAAAGCCUUGAAUAGUGGUGCAUGGAAUAAUGGAAUAGGACCUCGGUUCUAUUUUGUUGGUUUUCSGAACGCGAGGUAAUGAUUAAGAGGGACAGACGGGGGCAUUCGUAUUGCGACGUUAGAGGUGAAAUUCUUGGAUCGUCGCAAGACGGACGACUGCGAAAGCAUUUGCCAA